AUUAGAUCGUGCGUUCCACAUGGAUAACUGUGGUAAUCUUAGAGCUAAUACAUGCAAAUGGCCCUGACGUAGGGAGGGGCGCUUUUAUUAGAUCAAAAUCAAUCGGGGCAACCCGUUUAUGUGAUGACUCUGGAUAACUUUGUGCCGACCGCAUGGCCUUGUGCCGGCGGCGUAUCUUUCAAAUGUCUGCCCUAUCAACUUUCGAUGGUAGGUGACAUGCCUACCAUGGUUGUAACGGGUAACGGAGAAUCAGGGUUCGAUUCCGGAGAGGGAGCCUGAGAAACGGCUACCACAUCCAAGGAAGGCAGCAGGCGCGCAAAUUACCCACUCCCGGCACGGGGAGGUAGUGAGGAAAAAUAACAAUGCUGGGCUUCAAGUCCGGUAAUUGGAAUGAGUACACUUUAAAUCCUUUAACGAGGAUCU
rnacentral:rRNA from 1 species